UACGUAGGGCGCAAGCGUUAUCCGGAAUUAUUGGGCGUAAAGAGCUCGUAGGCGGUUUGUCGCGUCUGCCGUGAAAGUCCGGGGCUCAACUCCGGAUCUGCGGUGGGUACGGGCAGACUAGAGUGAUGUAGGGGGAGACGUGGAAUUCCUGGUGUAGCGGUGAAAUGCGCAGAUAUCAGGAGGAACACCGAUGGCGAAGGCAGGUCUCUGGGCAUUAACUGACGCUGAGGAGCGAAAGCAUGGGGAGCGAACAGG
rnacentral:rRNA from 1 species